AAGUCGUAACAAGGUUUCCGUAGGUGAACCUGCGGAAGGAUCAUUACCAAACUAGUCAUUCGUGUACGGGCUCCGGCUCCGAAACGAUGUAAGCUCACUAGUCACCCUUGAAUAAACACCUUUGUUGCUUUGGCGGGCCGCCGUCAGGCCAGCGGCUCCGGCUGCUGCGUGCCCGCCAGAGGACCCCAACUCUUGAUUUCAGUGAUGUCUGAGUACUAUAUAAUAGUUAAAACUUUCAACAACGGAUCUCUUGGUUCUG
rnacentral:misc_RNA from 1 species